CACCAGUGUUUCUUGGUUGUGGCGCUGUGAGCUGCACGCGUGCUUCCAGAUAACCGGCCGCAUUGAAGGUUUCUGCUGAAGACGACAAGGCGGAUCUUUGUUCCUCAACAUUCACGGUCUGGUUGACGAAGCCUUCGAAUGGUGAGUCUACUUCCCUUUCGCAGUGAACGUCUGGGCUUUCCCAUUCGGAUCUGCAACCAUGGACUCAGUUAAGGGGUUCUCGGCGAAACGUAAACGUUCUUUAAGCGUAAAGUUAUUUCGCUGGAGCUAAGUUAGACAGAUGAAGAUGGCAAGCUUCAAGAGGAGCUACGCGCCUCUGUCUUCCAGUAGCUCUAAGUUAGGCUUAACUGAGCCCACAUUCCGUUCGUCACAGAACAAUUGUUCCCAUACAUUUGCUGACGCAGUUGAGCUUUGACGAACGGAAUGCUUUUUCGUGCAUCAAAUGAAGAGGAACUUCGCGCUGCAGUUCGUAAGCCAAAUGGGUGUUACGACAAAAGUAAGCGACAACUUCUGUAUCCACCUUCGAUUUCAAUUCCAUUGUGGUUAGGGCUAGCUUACGGUCGCGCCGUUAGGAUCGCCCGGGGAAACUUUUCGUCGCUCGUCCGAUUUGCUUGCUGUAACGUCAGUACUUUCGUUAAUAAAAUAUUCAAUCUUGUGUCCUUCUUCUGAUUGCCCCCUUUCACGCAAACAUGCACUAGCUGACCGGUUGAGGCAGGGACUCUGCGUCAUUCCCGUUGUCCUUGUGCGUUGUCAUUUUGUUGUACGGUGUCUUGUAUUUGAUCACCCUUGCAAUAAAACUUUCGUUUCUCGUUUCGGAUUUGUCGUUCGUCAUUCCCUGAUACGCAAACAUGCACUAGUUCACUGGUUGAGGCAGGUACACAUUUUGACUGCCCCCUUUGCCCUUCCAGGGGGCUUCCACCACCCGCUGUACCCAAGGCUUCCAACCUGGUGUUGCAAGGACAGCGCCCGGCCAUGACGUAGACCAACUCCUAAGUAUCUUUCAUUCUGUGCUGUACUAGCGGUAUCGUCUAAUCAAUUGCUUUGUUUGUGCAGAUGCUGGAAUGCAGACACGCAGGUCCUUGAAGUUGAAGCCGUGAAGCUUUGCAGCCUUUCGUGUACUUUUCCUUCCUUGAUUUUCACUGUUAGAAAAUAAAUAUUUCUCGAUGGAAAAAAAAUA